rnacentral:tRNA from 1 species
GCAGGAAUAGCUUAGUUGCGAGAGCGAUAGACUGUAGAUCGAGAGUCCCUUGGUUGGAUCCCGGGUUUUGGCA